rnacentral:rRNA from 2 species
CGCUUCAACCGAUUGGAUGAUCCGGUAAAUUAUGUGGACAAGAUGUAAGUAUCCGUACUUAUAUUUUGAAAGCAGCGUGAGCCUUAUCAUCUAGAGGAUGAAAAAGUCGUAACACGGUA